CGUAGAUAGGUGAGGCGAGUUUUUACACGUAGAUUACAGUGGGAGUUUUUAAAGGGAUCUGAACCGGAGUGUUUUGAACGGAGAGAGUGAAGCAGGGUGGGGAGAGGGUCUGUGUCGGUGUGUCCGUGUCAGCUGUCUACAACUAAACACUGCUAACCGCUUUGGAUUUAAAUGGCACGAAAUAUGCUCCUGGUUGUACAUCUUGUGGUGGAACUGAUCGUGAGUGAUGUGGAGCAGACGAUGUGUGUGCGAUGGCUUAAAAAAUGCAGAAUUGGCUCAACGAAUCGCUGCUUAGCUUGGACAGCUGUGAUGGUCCGGAAGUUUUUGACUUCUUCUGCGACCAUGAUAAUGCCGAGAGCAACACAGCACACCCCGCUGGUGAGUCCUUCAAGCCUGCACGUGAAACAUGUCUCAUGUCUCCUCCACCUUUCUCUCUCACCUGUACCGACUCCAACAUCUUUCCCUCGACCUCCUCCCGUGCACAUACCCCUGCUCCAUAUCCUCCGUCUCCCUACACUCACCGAUACAAUCCCACCCCGAAUGGUGUCGUACCUUCUUGCUCUCCGGCCCCUCCAGCCACCCCUGCCACCCCUGCCAGCUUUUUCUACACCGCGGAGUCUCCGUUCGCUGAUGCACAUGACCUCAUGUGUGACCUCACGAACGACGGCCUCGCUUCCGGGGUAGAAGACCAGAUGCUAAAAGAAGAAAUGCUUGGCGAGGCAGAAAACGAUAAAGACGGCAAUAUGUCUUAUUAUGUCACCGAUGCCGUCCGAGGGCUUAGCAAAGUCCAGACGAAAGGAAAUAAUUCCAUGCCAACUACCUCUUCUACAUCUUCUUCAUCAUCGUCAUCGACUUCCGCUCGCCGCACAGCACUCACUGGUCCAGGCAGAUUCCUGCUAGAAGACCAUGAGGUCCUUCUUCGCCCCCCUAGGUGCCCGAUGUCCUGCCCUGUCCUGGAGGCAUCAGCGAUGUCUGUUUCUGAACCCACGGCCUUGGGAGACAGAGGAAGUUGUGAAGACUUUGCCGAGAUACCGAUGCUACUGCUACAGGUGUAGGGAUGGAAGAGGAAGAAUGACUGUGGUGGACAUCCUCCGAAAAGCACGAACCAAGCUUUGAUGUUUACCAGACCGUGACCUGGCAGAGCUGGACCCUAAGAUGGCGCGCGCCUUCCAGACGUCAUGCCAGACCGGUUCCUUGACCCCGCUGAUUAAGGAGGAGUUGAAAUACACCAUCAUGAACCGUCGUCACUCCGCUGGACAGGAAGAGAUUGUCGUGCAGUUUCCCACCCCAGCCCGCUACGAGUUGAAUGACGAGGAGACGAAGCGGCGACAGGUGCGGCUGGAGAAAAAUCGCGCAGCAGCCGCGCGGCACCGGGAGAAGAAGAAAGCAAACAAACGGCAGGACGAAGAGGAGCUUGGAGUUUUGGAAGCUCGAAACACAGAGCUGCGACAAGCGGUAGAGUUUCUGGAGACAGAGAUACGCACUCUCAGAUCUCUGCUGCCUCCAGCGCCUGAAUAGUUCCAGAACAGUCGAGAGGAACCAAAGUCAUUUCCCUCCUAACGACAUCAUCGUCAAUGGGAGGUCACCCAAGCACUCCGAGCUCCGAAUGUUGAGCGAACGGAGAGGUGGACUCGACGCGCGUUACGAUCGCUCGAGCGGUGCAUUGUGGGGGAGUAUCACGUGACAGUUUGUGUGUACAUACGUAUGUUCGUCUGUACAAAAGGCAACGUAGAAUGCGUAUCGCAAUGCUGAUCAUAGAGAGUUGUUGGACUUGAGGCAUCAGACCUCCAACCAUGGGUAGGUCACAGGUCAGUUGGGCUAAGUCAUGUAGGGUUAAUAAUUAUUUACUCUGGCUAGCAUCCACUCUACCUUGUGAUUAGGAGGAAUCCACAGCAAAAAACAAACACACACACACACAAAAUUCAAAAACAAAACAAAGCAAAACAAAAAAAAAACACAGGCAUAUUUUUUCCAGCAUGGUAUUAAUUGUUCUGAAAGGGUACACUGAGUAUAUUUCAUGUUUGUUUUUUCCUGUCAGGAUACAGCGGUUUCUGCUGAUCUUAAAAAUGUUUUCCCGGAAAGUUUUAUUUUUUCUCCCUCAGUUCAAGUCUUAAUCUGAUGCAUUAAAUAUAUUUUGAGUUGUUUUUUUUAUUUUAUUUGUUGCGGAUUUUUUUGGAGGUGGGGAGGAGUAAUUAAAACCUGAUUUUUUUAAUCGCUCACUCGAUGUAUGGAUUUCAUUAAUGUGUACAUAUUGUAACUCCCGAUGCGUUUGUUGAUUGUUGCUGAGAGUGGUAUAGUAUUCCACGAUCAUGGCGCUUGUGGUGUGCAACACACCCACAGAUUUUUGUAUACGUUUGUAAUACUAUGAAACAAAAGCAAGUUAAAAUCACUUUUGUUUUCUGUACAAGUUUACACGUGUACUAAAAAGAUUUUACAUUCCACCCAGGAAUAAAUGUAUGGUUGGAGCUGAGUGCCCCUGAAGAAAUAAGUAAAAAUUGUUGUGUUCAGCAUAGGGCAAGUUGUCUUCCCCUGUCUCCGUAACUGUUCCCCUUUGCUCAUCAUACAACUUGCACAUCAGGAACCUGUUCAAAAGCCAAUAAGAGAGAUUAUUAGGCAGGUGCUUUCUCCUGAGAUGUUUGUUUGUCAUGCUCUCCUCCACUCUAUCUUUUUUCUACUGCAAUAACCACCCUGGAACCCCUCCCCUACCACAUGGACACAGAAGAUCAGUGUGGGACUAACCCAGAGUUUGGUGAAGGUCUGUCCUACGCCCACCCUACCCCCACGCAGAUCCUGAAGUCCUUCCCUCUCAUGGUCCCCCCUAAUGUCUUCCAGGAAAACUCAGUGUCGCUGGUUUCAACACUUACUUACUCACAAUAGCCCUCCUGCAAGCUUGGUACUUACUCACUUUUCAAGGUAGUCUGUACAAUUGUUUGAAAUGCAUUUACAAAUCACCCUUCCAGGGGUGUUAGGUAGAAGGCGAAGAUAAUUCCCAUCCUUUUGGGGGAAAUAUUACAAAUAAAACAUACUGAAGCGCUUGGUAUGCAUGUUUCUGGUUUGCCAUAACCAAGUUUCUAUAAUUUUGUGCGGAAUUUACUUGGUCAGUCUUGUAAAAAAUGUAUAAGAAUUAUACAAGAACAAUUCAAAAAUGGCAUUUAUACAUGACAGAUUUAUUAAGCUUAGGCAUUUGGAUUGUUAAAAAUAUUUUCAGAAUUUAUUUUACUGUUUUUCUGAACUGUUUAGUAUUGUUUGUGUGUUUUAUUUUUGCUUUUUUUUCUUCGUAACUACAAAAGUAAUUAUGAUUUGGAGGAGUAAGUGAAGUCAGGCAACUUGUUUGAGAUUGCUUCUUGUAUUGUGACCUGCUGUACAGAAAGAAACAUUUAAGUACUCCUUCGAUACUUUCUUUUUAAUCUUGAUUAUUUUUUCACGAGUGUAUCAUUUAAAAAAAAAAUCCCAAGCAAACGACCUUUUAAAUAAACUUUCACCCGAACUGAGAACAUUGAACAACAUUGUUACGGGUAUUGUAAAGAUAGGUUUAUUGCUGAAACCUGUUUACAAGACUUCUCAUGCUUUCAUUUGCCUGAUUCACAAACUUUUGUUUUGAAUAAAAUCUUAUUAUUAAA